GAAAAUAUUUCUCUCUUUUACUUUGCAAAAGACAAACUAAAAACUCCUAUUUUUCCUUGUUUUGCCGAAGCAUACCCAAGGAAAAAAGACUCCAUUUUUCCUUUGUAACUCUUCACCUUCAAAGCUUUAUUAAGAUGUGACGGAAAGUCAACUAUUGACGGAUCAAAGUGAAGGAGCACCGGUUGGAAUAGACCGAGUGGCUAAUAGUGGAUCAUCGUGGCGUAUUUAAUUAUUUAUGGAGCGACAGUCUGAAUAUUGCCUGUGUCUGGACGAGACUUCAUCUUUUUGAUUCUUGAAGUCUUCGUUUUGCGUAUAUGGUAUUUGGUCUUAUCUUGAUCUGUAGAGCUGCAGUAGAAUAGAUAGACAGACGCCUUAGCAUGUCAGUAUUUGCGAUGUUUGCCACGCAUGAACUCUGUUUUAUUUUCAUCGCACGAUUAUAAUAUAUUUUAACGACAUGCAUUAAGGUAUUGGGAAAUAGUUGCAACCCGGGUACACGGUAGUACCGAGAGUUUUGAGAUACAGAGUAAAGAAAACUGUACGCAACUAUGUUAUGUGUAUAAUAUGGGGCCCAACGUGGCUAUAUGCAUGAAUGCAUGUUAUCAGUUUUGUAAAAGACGAUAUUCGAGGAAUACGCAUUAAAACGAUAACCAGUAAUUAAAAAGUAUCAGUUUUAAUUUAACGAAUGUGUUUGCAUAUUGAAAUGCAUUUAAAUCCAUAAUGAAAUGGUUUGCAUAGUAAAAUGCAGUUAUCACCAUAAUGAGAUGGUGUGUGCAUAAUGAGAUGCAUUAUAAACCCCAGUGAAGUGGGUAUGAAACUUGAAUACAUUAAUUAAAUAGAAAAUUAAUUAUAAAGUUUCAUCAUGAUUUUAUCGGAAUGUUUUUAAACGGAGAUUUUAAAAUGUUCGAAAAUAUGAUUUGAAUUCCGCGAAAAAAAAUUAAGUGGUUUUUAAUGUAUUUUUAAGGCUUGCUACGGGUUUCGGAGCAACCACUCCCAUUCCCUAGCGCCGGUCUCGACGCCGAGAAUCGGGUCGUGACAAAGGUGGUAUCAGAGCAAUGGUCGAUGAGUUGGGCCAUUGCGUGAUAAUGUGUGAGCAAUAUUCGAAAAAGUCGAAUGAUUGCAUAGUGAUAAAGUGUAAAGGCUUAGAAAUGUCUAUCGUGUUCCUAGGAAUUUAUGAGUAUUCAUAGGAAUCUACUGCAGCAUAUAAGAAUUCGAAUCAUGUCUUUGUUACAUCAUCGUUUUCAAAAUCCUCGAUCUUCAGCUUUCCCUUAGGAAGUGAGUCUGUGAUUAUGUGAUUAUGUGCUUAUUUGCAAUUCUAUGAUUCGUUGAUUAAAGUUGAUUUCGGUUAAUGAAAACCGAAUAUGAUUGCAUGUUUUUCAGUAUUUAAAACGUGCUAAAAUGUGAUAUGUGGGAAGUAUGAAAAUUGUUUGUUUAAAAUUUUAUGUGAAAAGUUAUAUGGUUUAUGUUUGGCUAUUCGGUGAUUAUAUGUUUAAAGGAUGAUAUGCGAUUUGUUUGCGCAUUUGAAUUUGAUUGGUUGCUAAGUGAGCAACGUGAUUUGAUUAGAAUGAGUGGCUAAAAAUAAGUGGAAACUCAUGUUGCAGAAAUAGAACAUGAUAAAGAGGAGACUCAUGAUGAGACCUCUGUUAAGGGUAAAGGAAAUGACCCAUUACCUAUAGUAGGUAAAAAUCGCGAACGAUAGAUAAUUAUAGAUAUAGAGGCGUUGUCGUUGACAUUGAAUUGAUCAACGAAAGAAGAAAGCGAAGAAUGAUUUCUACAGAGUUGGAAAUGUCUAA